GACGAACGCUGGCGGCGUGCUUAACACAUGCAAGUCGAACGGAAAGGCCCUGCUUUUGUGGGGUGUUCGAGUGGCGAACGGGUGAGUAACACGUGAGUAACCUGCCCUUGACUUUGGGAUAACUUCAGGAAACUGGGGCUAAUACCGGAUAGGAGCUCCUGCUGCAUGGUGGGGGUUGGAAAGUUUCGGCGGUUGGGGAUGGACUCGCGGCUUAUCAGCUUGUUGGUGGGGUAGUGGCUUACCAAGGCUUUGACGGGUAGCCGGCCUGAGAGGGUGACCGGCCACAUUGGGACUGAGAUACGGCCCAGACUCCUACGGGAGGCAGCAGUGGGGAAUAUUGCACAAUGGGCGGAAGCCUGAUGCAGCAACGCCGCGUGCAGGAUGACGGCCUUCGGGUUGUAAACCGCUUUCGCCUGUGACGAAGCGUGAGUGACGGUAAUGGGUAAAGAAGCACCGGCUAACUACGUG
rnacentral:rRNA from 1 species